rnacentral:rRNA from 1 species
GACGAACGCUGGCGGCAUGCCUAAUACAUGCAAGUCGAGCGAACAGAUGAAGUGCUUGCACUUCUGACGUUAGCGGCGAACGGGUGAGUAACACGUAAGGAAUCUACCUAUAAGCGGGGGAUAACAUUCGGAAACGGGUGCUAAUACCGCAUAAUAUCUUCUUCCGCAUGGAAGAAGAUUAAAGACGGCUCUGCUGUCACUUAUAGAUGACCUUGCGGUGCAUUAGUUAGUUGGUGGGGUAAUGGCCUACCAAGACAAUGAUGCAAAGCAGACCUGAGAGGGUGAUCGGCCACAUUGGGACUGAGACACGGCCCAAACUCCUACGGGAGGCAGCAGUAGGGAAUCUUCCGCAAUGGGCGAAAGCCUGACGGAGAAAUGCCGCGUGAGUGAAGAAGGCCUUCGGGUCGUAAAACUCUGUUAUAAGAGAAGAACAAAUUGUAGAGUAACUGCUACAGUCUUGACGGUAUCUUAUCAGAAAGCCACGGCUAACUACGUGCCAGCCGCCGCCGUAA